rnacentral:rRNA from 1 species
UCGGGAAUUUUGGGCAAUGGGCGCAAGCCUGAUCCAGCCAUGCCGCGUGGAUGAUGAAGGCCUUAGGGUUGUAAAAUCCUUUCGUGGGGGACGAUAAUGACGGUACCCCAAGAAGAAGCUCCGGCUAACUUCGUGCCAGCAGCCGCGGUAAUACGAAGGGGGCUAGCGUUGUUCGGAUUUACUGGGCGUAAAGCGCGUGUAGGCGGGUCGUUAAGUUGGGGGUGAAAUCCCGAGGCUCAACCUCGGAACUGCCUUCAAAACUGGCGACCUGGACCCAAGUAGAGGCAAGUGGAAUUGCGAGUGUAGAGGUGAAAUUCGUAGAUAUUCGCAGGAACACCAGUGGCGAAGGCGACUUGCUGGACUUGUGGUGACGCUGAGACGCGAAAGCGUGGGGAGCAAACAGGAUUAGAUACCCCCGUAGUCCCUGAGCGGGCUGGCAAGGCGCAU